CCUACGGGAGGCAGCAGUGAGGAAUAUUGGUCAAUGGGCGAGAGUCUGAACCAGCCAAGUAGCGUGAAGGAUGACUGCCCUAUGGGUUGUAAACUUCUUUUAUAAGGGAAUAAAACGCGGCACGUGUGCCUUUUUGCAUGUACUUUAUGAAUAAGGAUCGGCUAACUCCGUGCCAGCAGCCGCGGUAAUACGGAGGAUGAGAGCGUUCUCCGGAUUUAUUUGGUUUAAAGGGUGCGUAGAUGGGUUGUUAAGUCAGUUGUGAAAGUUUGCGGCUCAACCGUAAAAUUGCAAUUGAUACUGGCAGUCUUGAGUACAGUUGAGGUAAGCGGAAUUCGUGGUGUAGCGGUGAAAUGCUUAGAUAUCACGAAGAACCCCGAUUGCGAAGGCAGCUUACUAAACUGUGACUGACAUUGAUGCUCGAAAGUGUGGGUAUCAAACAGGAUUAGAUACCCCAGUAGUC
rnacentral:rRNA from 1 species